UGUUUUAUUUUCUAAUUUUCAGUGCUGUUCGCUUGACUGGGCCAUUUGUUACAAUGGUGUAUUCUAUGAUAGUUGGUGACAUGCUUACAUUCGGUAUGAUCUAUUCAAUUGUUUUAUUUGGCUUCUCACAAUCAUUCUACUUCUUGUACAAAGGAUUUCCUGGAGUUAAAACAUCUCUAUACCAUUCUUAUUCUUCAACAUGGAUGGCUUUGUUUCAGAUUACACUUGGUGAUUAUAAUUAUUCAGAGUUGAGUCUCACAUCGUAUCCAACUUUAGCAAAGACAGUCUUCACAAUUUUUAUGAUUCUUGUACCAAUUCUGCUAUUAAACAUGUUGAUUGCCAUGAUGGGCAAUACG